rnacentral:misc_RNA from 1 species
AAGUCGUAACAAGGUUUCCGUAGGUGAACCUGCGGAAGGAUCAUUAAUGAGUUUGGGGGCCUAGCCCCCAGCGGUGGGUGUCUGUCCGAGUCCGUCAGGGCUCGGCCAGCGCUCGUCGUGUAUCUCAACCCCAUGUUUACCUUACCUUUGUUGCUUUGGCGGGCCUUGAGCAGGCUAUACGGCUCAUGCCAGCCCCCAGCGUUUUCUUGCUGGGGAGUGGCUCGCGCCCGCCGGAGGUUCAACCAAAUUCUGUUUGUUAGUGAAGUCCGAGUAUAAAUCAAAUAAUCAAAACUUUCAACA